rnacentral:misc_RNA from 1 species
UAAUCGGUGUUGGCCGCGCAUGGCACCGGAUCGGGUUUGAUAAGACGAUCAAGCCUGCGAUGACUGGAUACCUAUCGUAGAGUUUUUUUUUCAAAAAAAAAACUUUACGAAAAGGUAUUCGAUCAUCAACCGUGCGNGGGNACGGUUUGUUGCGAAUGAUUCNGAAUAUUGNGAAUUUUCCUAGAUGGACNGGAAUUUCGUNAUCAUUCUUUCGUCAGUGACCCGACUUAAUUGCCAUUUCCCAGCGUUUUACGAGCCAUGUCAGUCGAGCCUCGCUCGGCUUUUGACUGCAAAUAUACGUAUUGGGUUAGCGUUACCGGCCAUGUCUGUUGAGCUUUGCUCGGCCUUCGACUGCCAACUACGCAGGCGAACGUGGAUCGAGCCAUGUUGGUUGGGCUUUGCUCGGCUUUAGACUGCUCGUUGCACGCAUGUUUGUUACCCGAGGCAUGUUUAGCGAAUUCCCUCUACUCUACGUAAAUACGUCAACAAGAUACGAAGCAUCAAAACUCAACGUUUGGUUUCCAGAUUCCGUAUCGCUCGGUGCAUUUUGGGGCUGCUUCGGCUUUUGGUUGCUUGCUUUGCUUUGAGCAAAGUGGGUGGCUACUAGUCGGGGUGGCUUCGGGGAUGAUUACCGUAAAGGUGCAUGAGUUGUGUUUGGUUUGUUACGUGUGGUUGGCUGCGGCGCUUGCAACAACUUCCACGCUCUCAUACCUCUUCAGUAGUGCGACAAGGCUUGUAUCGCCUUGAGCGUCAUGUGGGUUAUCUGUGNUGAAUACCUAAUCAACGGUAUCGGUUGGAUAGAUCAAAAGUUGCUUUUCGCCUUGCGUUGCAUUUGCGAUGUGAGGUGAACCUGAAUGCAUUCUCUUUGAUCCACCUUGUCGUAGCACAAGCUUCGACAUUGUGGCACAUUGAGUAUUGCUUGGUUUCUCGUAUACCGAACAUAAUGUGGGCUUGGAUCUAACGAUUCUUAANGGNCCUAGUUUCAGCGUCUAAAACGACU